rnacentral:lncRNA from 1 species
CUCCAAAGAAGCUCACUUUGAUAGUGAAUGCCAUGUUUAUUCAGAAUCAACCAAAUAAAUAAUUAAAAGAUAAAAUGCAUAGUAAAUACAUGGAACAUCUACCACGUUACCCUGCCAAGUCCAUCAUUUUCAGUGACUGCAAAAGUCUCUUUACCUCACCUAGUUAUGGCUAAAUAAUCACAUGACUGGAGAAGCCUGCUCCCAUCCCUGUUGUGCCCUGUUGUUCCCUCCCUCUAAGGGGUACACCUCUGCCCCAGGAGUGGGGAAGGGCAGACAGAUCCAGGGGGACAUGCUAUUACACAGCUGUACUCAAAAACAAGUUUGCUAUGUUUUCCAGCACAUGGAAAUGUUAAAAUCUAAAAUCCUGAGCAAGACAAUUAAGCAGUUAAUAUUCAAAUGAGAAAGUUGGCAGCUCAACCUUAGAAAGGCCUAUAGGCCCCUCAUAGAAUGAGCAUGUAUUUAGCUCUGUUGUGAUUAGCUUUGUUUUUAAUUAUGUUACUAGCCAACAUUUAUAUAGAACUCUAGGGUCAACAAACCUAUGAAUUAGGUAAUGUUAUUUCUAUUUUAUACUUGGAGAAAUAAGUUCACAGUGUUGAAACUGGAUUCAAAACGAGGCUUCUAAGUGAUGUUUCCCUUGUUUAGCUAUUUAAGUGUUUUUGAAAUGACAGUUCUUUGGGGAUGCCAAUCUCAAUUUCUUAAAAGUUGACAUUGUCUUCCCAAUUUGAAUUUUAAAUGUAACCAACCAGAAAUAGAAUGAAAUGGGGGGGUGGAGGGGAGGGGGAGUGGAAAAGAGUGGAAUUGAGUUGUUAAUAGCUCCUUAUGGAGUCCUUAGCUCCAAUGAAAUAAUUAACCUUUUAUAUCUGUGCCCCAUGACAGUUUUAGAGAGCAGAAUUUUUCAAAUAGGGAUGGGAGAAUGGGGAGGCAAUAAUGCAAAGCAAUGUCCAAAUUUAUUGAACAUUUUUAGUUUAACUCCUGCAUAAUGUGUGUCUGCCUGUUUUAGUCAAAGCAAGGUUCAAUUCAUAGUCAACAAUAUUGAGACUAAGAGAUUAUCAAUGAUGAAAAGCAGUGCAGUGAUUAUUUGAUUAUAUGCACAGUGUUAAAUUUAAAUCCAUACUUGUCCAAUAUUCAUUUGCCAUCAUCUUUGUAACCACCUGAGCUCCAUUUGAACAUAAAGUACAAACUGAAAGGUAAACCAUCAGUAUGAAAAUAAAAAGUAGUAUAAUAUCUGUUAUAUUUCUCUGGUACUCCUUUUGAAAAAGUGCAGUAUAACAAGCUAUAUGUUUUUAAUUGAAAUAAAGACUCAAAAAAACACUUGACAUUUUCAACAAUGACAUUCAAAUAUAAAUCUCUGAAAUUUUUUAUUGUUUCUAAUUUAAGAAGUGAAAAAUGUCUAUUUGUGAUACAUAAAUACAUAACCAGUUUGGUGAAAAAAUUCACUAGGUCAGCUGAAACCUAUUCAAGACAAUAGAG